rnacentral:lncRNA from 10 species
AAAAAAUAUUCUAAACCACACUACCCAUGUGUUUAUAAAUCAAAUACAUGUAACACUAGUAAUAAUAGGUACAUAAUAAAUAUUUUCUUUUUUUAUUUUUUAGAUAGUCUCGCUCUGUCACCCAGGCUGGAGUACAGUGGCACGAUCUUGGCUCACUGCAAGCUCUGCCUCCUGGGUUCACGCCAUUCUCCUGCCUCAGCCUCCCAAGUAGCUGGGAUUACAAGUGUUCGCCAACACACCCAGCUAAUUUUUGUAUUUUUAGUAGAGACAUGGUUUCACCAUGUUGGCCAGGCUGGUCUUGAACUCCUAACUUUAAGUGAUUCGCCUGCCUCGGCCUCCCAAAGUGCUGGAAUUACAGGCAUGAGCCACUGCGCCCAGCCAAUAGGUAUAUAAUAAAAGACAGAAAAUUUUAAAGAAUGAGACUCUAGAUGUGAAAAUUUUGAUGCUCUCUUCUAAUAUCCCAGUGGGUUAUCUCAUGUAUGCCAUACUGAAGGUCUUUGCUUAAAGAAGUGCCUCUUAAAGUGGGGUCCACAGACUACCUGCCUCAGAUUCCUGGAUGCAUUCCCGAUCUCCUACUCCUAGGAGUUAAGCCUAGAAGUAUGCAUUUAAUCAGCUCUCCAAGAGUGUCUUUUGGAAAAGUUCAGAGCAGUGAUUCCUAUGGAAAGGGUUAGAGAGUUCUUUGGCUCACCAGUGUAAAACCUGAC